rnacentral:rRNA from 1 species
CACGUAGGGCGCAAGCGUUGUCCGGAAUCAUUGGGCGUAAAGCGCGCGUAGGCGGUUACUUAUGUCGGAUGUGAAAGCCCUCGGCUUAACUGAGGAAGUGCAUUCGAAACUGGGUAGCUAGAGUACUAAAGAGGGUCGCGGAAUUCCCGGUGUAGAGGUGAAAUUCGUAGAUAUCGGGAGGAACACCGGUGGCGAAGGCGGCGACCUGGGUAGAUACUGACGCUGAGGCGCGAAAGCGUGGGGAGCAAACAGG